rnacentral:rRNA from 1 species
GACGAACGCUGGCGGCGUGCUUAACACAUGCAAGUCGAACGGAAAGGCCCUGCUUUUGUGGGGUGCUCGAGUGGCGAACGCGUGAGUAACACGUGAGUAACCUCCCCUUGACUUUGGGAUAACUUCAGGAAACUGGGGCUAAUACCGGAUAGGAGCUCCUGCUGCAUGGUGGGGGUUGGAAAGUUUCCGCGGUUGGGGAUGUACUCGCGGCUUAUCAGCUUGUUGGUGGGGUAGACGCUUACCAAGGCAUUGACGGGUAGCCGGCCUGAGAGGGUGAACGGCGACAUUGGGACUGAGACACGGUCCAGACUCCUACGAGAGGCAGGAGUGGGGGAUAUUACAGAAGGGGCCGAAUCCAGAUGAAGAAGCGACGCGUCCGUGAUGGCGUCCUUCGGGUAGUAAACCGAUUUCGACUGUGACGAAGCGUGAGUGACGGUAAGUGGUAAAGAAGCACCGGCUAACUACGUG